CUGCGGAGGAUCAUUACCGAACCGUCGACACGAGUUGUUGCUGGUCCUCGAAAGGGGGCACGUGCACGCUCUGUUGCACAUCCACUCACACCUGUGCACACUCUGUAGUUCUAUGGCCUUGGGGACUCUGUCCUCUCGCCGUGGUCCUACGUCUUCACACACACGCCGUAACAAAGUCUCAUGGAAUGCAUGUCGCGUUUAACGCAAUACAAUACAACUUUCAGCAACGGAUCUCUUGGCUCUCGCAUCGAUGAAGAACGCAGCGAAAUGCGAUAAGUAAUGUGAAUUGCAGAAUUCAGUGAAUCAUCGAAUCUUUGAACGCACCUUGCGCCCUUUGGCUAUUCUGAAGGGCAUGCCUGUUUGAGUAUCAUGAACACCUCAACUCUCAUGGCCUGCCAUGAUGAGCUUGGACUUUGGAGGUCUUGCCGGUGUACCGUCGGCUCCUCUCAAACGAAUCAGCUUGCCAGCGUUUGGCGGCGUCACAGGUGUGAUAACUAUCUACGCUUGUGGACUUCCGCCAGGCAACCUCCAGCGAUGGGGGUUCGCUGGAGCUCACAAACGUCUCUCCUGAGCGAGGACAGCUUUUUGAACGUUUGAUCUCAAAUCAGGUAGGACUACCCGCUGAACUUAAGCAUAUCAAUA
rnacentral:rRNA from 1 species